CGACAUCAUUUGGCCGUCGGGCUUUGUCUGCGAGAACUGUUUGAAGAGGUCUGGGAAAACAAAAAAGGAGAACAAGUUUUCAGCUAAAAGGUUGCAGUCAACGAGGUUGGGAACGUACAUUGAGGACAGAGUCAAUAAGUACUUGAAAA